GGAAGCAUGGCCGAGUGGUUAUGGCGCUAGUUUCAGGUCUUCUGAAAAGAGUCUUGAAGACAAGGUUUACUAGUUGGGCAACCUUCGUGAGUUCGAGUCUCACUGCUUUCA
rnacentral:tRNA from 1 species